UGAUAAAAGAAACUCCAUAAAUUCACUCACGAAAGUUCAUGUUGAUAACACCGAAGGGAGUUGGGUAACCAAAAAACCAAGUUGAUUUUCACAUUUUUUCGGCUUUGAACCAUCGUUGAUCAUCUCCCUUUCGUGGUUUCAUUUCUUUCUGGUACGAUUCCUCCCUUUUCCAUCACUUUUUUCUCUUUCCUCCACUGCGAGCGAUGACUUUUUCUUAUUUUCUUCCUCUUUCUUCCCUCUCCUCUCUUUCCUUUUCCUUCUUCCCCAGCAGACAUGGCGAUCAGCAGGGGAGUGGCCGGUUUAAAUAUUUUCCUAUGAUCAAAUAUUGACCGCAUGAUUGUGCGUACGUGGCUACGUGCGGUCCAUGUGAUCUGGGCUCAUUAAUGGCAAAAAUGUAAUUCUACUCUGCGCGCCUCCCUGCCAUUAGAUCGCAAUCUUUGUCCAUCAGGACCGUCUGUGCGUGAGGCUAUUGGAUUACCUUGGAACACAUGCAGGCCAUUCGAUCGACAUCUCUCUUGUGAGCCAUUGGAUCACAAUCAUUACCUUUGCACACUGGGAAGCCAUCUGAUUUGCAUACCCAAGUAUGAUCGUGUGGCUGACCACAUGUGCAGGUCAGACGUCAUGCAGCUUUCUACGAUUGGCUUGCAACUACGUCACUUGUUGAGCUGGGACACAUUCUAGAAAUCGC
rnacentral:lncRNA from 1 species